ensembl:lncRNA
UUUAUCCUCUCAACUUACUCAUCUUUAGCCCUUCCUCCUGUUGACCUAAAACAUGUAGAAUGCCAUGGUAUGGCAUUCAGCAAAGAUGGGUUUAUUCAGGAUAGGCAGAGAAUUACAAUUUGGGAUAUGCAACUGCGGUGAGAGGAGUACUAUCUACACCCGUGGCAAGAGAAGGAAAUGCUUUUAUAGAGGAGAACAGGAAGUUGAGGAGCUGUGAUAAAAAGGGUUCAUGGCUUCCCACUGGCUGACUCCUUGCCAGAAAAGAAAAGUAUUUUUCUUUGUUGGGCUCAUCUGUCUUCACAGGUGUGAGAGCUCCCCCUUCUGGUCACCAGUUUCUAUUGCAGUUUCUAUUAACAUUUUUAUUUUUUAGGUUUUUAUUUUUUAUUACUUUACAAUAUUGUACUGGUUUUGCCAUACAUCAACAUGAACCCACCACAGGUGUACACGUGUUCCCCAUCCUGAACCACCCUCCGACUUCCCUCCCCAUCCCAUCCCUCUUGGUCAUCCCAGUGCAUCAGCCCUGAGCAUCCUGUAUCAUGCAUCGAACCUGGACUGGCGAUUCGUUUCACAUAUGAUAAUACACAUGUUUCAAUGCUAUUCUCCCAAAUCUUCCCACCCUCGCCCUCUCCCACAGAGUUCAAAAGACUGUUCUAUACAUUUGUGUCUCUUUUGGUGUCUCGCAUACAGGGUUAUUGUUACCUGCCGGAGCCGGCCGGCGGUGAGGAGCUCCACUCAUGGCAAAGGUCAUGAGGAAGGAGGCUCGGCAUACGCAAAGGCGGGAUCGAGCCUCAGGAGUCCCCCUGGAAAUUCUCGAGCAUCUACCCCUAAAACCAGAGUCUGACUACUUUCUGCUUUGUGCUCUCACCUACACCUCUGACUUUACGGGGGGCUGUCCCCCACUACCUCUCUCUGAAAAAAAGAGUUAACUUACAGCUCCAGUUAAUAAAGUUCCUGGGUGUGAUAGUGUUUCAACCUACAAACUCCUUUGGAAGUCCUCUAGCCUGCCUGAACAGGUUUUUCCGGCCACAUGUGAUUGCUCAGAGCCUCCCAACCGUGAGAGGCAUGAGAUGUUCUAAACUGUCUAAAUACAGAUUCCUUUGAGCAGUUAAAAGAUUGAUUAGAAAUUGUAUUGGUGAAGGGUUUUUCACUUGUUGGGCCAAUGUUUGCUGCUAAGUCUCCAUAUCCCUUACCUGCUGUGUCCCUGGCAGUGUAUUGAUUAAUAUGAUUGGUGUAAGUAAUAGCUUUAAUGUUUGUAACCUUGGACCCUUGAGUUAAUUCUUUUUCUUGUUAUAGCCCACCACACCUUUGCCCUAUAGGAAUGCAACUUUAAUGCUUUUGGAGGGUGGCACCUGACUAAUCACCUUUAGAGAAAAAUAAGUUUUCUGAAGAAAGAGUCUUAAAAUGUUAACAGGCCUCUGGGCCAGAAGAUGAUGCAAAUCACCUAAGCUUUUGCAUAUGAUAAGUUUGCAGGAAGAAAGCCUGGCUUGCUGCAUGACUCUACCCCUUCC